rnacentral:lncRNA from 1 species
GGAGAUGACCAUUCAAUAGUCUGGCACUGGAAUGGGGAUGCCAGCGGAGGAGGUGACCGUGCUUGUGUUGGCAGUGAUGGGGGGCUGCAAUGGUAGCAGCAACAGCAGUACUUCCAGCAGCAGUGGAGAGGUGAUGGUGGUACGAGCGAAAAUUUCAGUCGUGAUCAUGGUUUUGGAGUGAUGUGGAGAAGCACUGAUGGCAACAAUGGUGGGGAAGUGGCAGCUGCUUUAUGUUUUGGUUUUAUUUCCAAAAGUUUUGAAAGUAAAAUUACCAUAAACUUUGAAGAUUUAGUAAUUAAGGGGGAAAAACACUCACUUAAAUAUCAGCAUUUUUUCUGGUCCCUACUACUAUUUCUGUUUUAAAAAAGCAAAAAAUAAUAAAAAGAAACAAUUGCUAACAAGCCCUAACUAAAUAAAUGGGCAUAACAAAACUUUGUGGAAACUGGAAAAUGCCAAUGACUAAUUUUCACCUGAAUCUUUUAAUGAAUCUGGAAUUUUUAUUAAUUUUAAAAAAACAGAUUUGUAUAAUUAUUUUAUAUUUCAUAUCUAAUUCAUCAUGUGAUCUUAACAAGAGCAAGGUGUUUCACUACGAAGCAUGCAUACAAAUACUAGACAUAGAUGCAACAAGAUAUCAUACGCCUAGAAGGCAAAUCUUGGAAAAAUAGGAUAUCAAUAUUGGACCCUUUGAACCCAUCAAUGAGUAAUUAUCUAUUCUGCAGACCACAAUCUAUA